GAUGAACGCUGGCGGCGUGCCUAAUACAUGCAAGUCGAGCGAACGGACGAGAAGCUUGCUUCUCUGAUGUUAGCGGCGGACGGGUGAGUAACACGUGGAUAACCUACCUAUAAGACUGGGAUAACUUCGGGAAACCGGUGCUAAUACCGGAUAAUAUUUUGAACCGGAUGGUUCAAAAGUGAAAGACGGUCUUGCUGUCACUUAUAGAUGUAUCCGCGCUGCAUUAGCUAGUUGGUAAGGUAACGGCUUACCAAGGCAACGAUGCAUAGCCGACCUGAGAGGGGGAUCGGCCACACUGGAACUGAGACACGGUCCAGACUCCUACGGGAGGCAGAAGUAGGGAAUCUUCCGCAAUGGGCGAAAGCCUGAAGGAGCAACGCAGCGUGAGUGAUGAAGGUCUUCGGAUCGUAAAACUCUGUUAUUAGGGAAGAACAUUUGUGUAAGUAACUGUGCACAUCUUGACGGUACCUAAUCAGAAAGCAACGGCUAACUACGUG
rnacentral:rRNA from 1 species